UCUUAUGAAUGAGCAAAGAAAGUGGUUUGUUGGGAUGGAGUCUACUUCUGAUGACGAUUCUGUGAA
rnacentral:pre_miRNA from 1 species